rnacentral:rRNA from 1 species
CCUACGGGAGGCAGCAGUGGGGAAUAUUGGACAAUGGGGGGAACCCUGAUCCAGCCAUGCCGCGUGUGUGAUGAAGGCCCUCGGGUUGUAAAGCACUUUCAGUGAGGAAGAACGCCUGGUGGUUAAUACCCAUCAGGAAAGACAUCACUCACAGAAGAAGCACCGGCUAACUCCGUGCCAGCAGCCGCGGUAAUACGGAGGGUGCGAGCGUUAAUCGGAAUUACUGGGCGUAAAGCGCGCGUAGGUGGCUUGAUAAGCCGGUUGUGAAAGCCCCGGGCUCAACCUGGGAACGGCAUCCGGAACUGUCAAGCUAGAGUGCAGGAGAGGAAGGUAGAAUUCCCGGUGUAGCGGUGAAAUGCGUAGAGAUCGGGAGGAAUACCAGUGGCGAAGGCGGCCUUCUGGACUGACACUGACACUGAGGUGCGAAAGCGUGGGUAGCAAACAGGAUUAGAUACCCGUGUAGUC